rnacentral:misc_RNA from 1 species
UGUGGGAGCGAGCCUGCUCGCGAAAAGGGCUUAUCAGGCGACAUGAAUGUUGCCUGAUCCAACGCCAUCGCGAGCAGGCUCGCUCCCACA